rnacentral:rRNA from 1 species
CAGCCGCCACGGGAAUACGGAGGGUGCAAGCGUUAUCCGGAUUUAUUGGGUUUAAAGGGUCCGUAGGCGGACUUAUAAGUCAGUGGUGAAAGCCUGUCGCUUAACGAUAGAACUGCCAUUGAUACUGUAAGUCUUGAGUAUAUUUGAGGUAGCUGGAAUAAGUAGUGUAGCGGUGAAAUGCAUAGAUAUUACUUAGAACACCAAUUGCGAAGGCAGGUUACCAAGAUAUAACUGACGCUGAGGGACGAAAGCGUGGGUAGCGAACAGGAUUAGAUACCCCUGUAGUCCCUGUCUCUUAUAA